rnacentral:rRNA from 1 species
CUUGCUCUGUGGAUCAGUGGCGAACGGGUGAGUAACACGUGAGCAACCUGCCCCUGACUCUGGGAUAAGCGCUGGAAACGGCGUCUAAUACUGGAUAUGAGCUGCGAUCGCAUGGUCAGCAGUUGGAAAGAUUUUUCGGUCUGGGAUGGGCUCACGGCCUAUCAGCUUGUUGGUGAGGUAAUGGCUCACCAAGGCGUCGACGGGUAGCCGGCCUGAGAGGGUGACCGGCCACACUGGGACUGAGACACGGCCCAGACUCCUACGGGAGGCAGCAGUGGGGAAUAUUGCACAAUGGGCGAAAGCCUGAUGCAGCAACGCCGCGUGAGGGAUGACGGCCUUCGGGUUGUAAACCUCUUUUAGCAGGGAAGAAGCGAAAGUGACGGUACCUGCAGAAAAAGCGCCGGCUAACUACGUGCCAGCAGCCGCGGUAAUACGUAGGGCGCAAGCGUUAUCCGGAAUUAUUGGGCGUAAAGAGCUCGUAGGCGGUUUGUCGCGUCUGCUGUGAAAUCCCGAGGCUCAACCUCGGGUCUGCAGUGGGUACGGGCAGACUAGAGUGCGGUAGGGGAGAUUGGAAUUCCUGGUGUAGCGGUGGAAUGCGCAGAUAUCAGGAGGAACACCGAUGGCGAAGGCAGAUCUCUG